UGGCGGACGGGUGAGUAAUGUCUGGGAAACUGCCCGAUGGAGGGGGAUAACUACUGGAAACGGUAGCUAAUACCGCAUAACGUCGCAAGACCAAAGAGGGAGACCUUCGGGCCUCUUGCCAUCGGAUGUGCCCAGACGGGAUUAGCUAGUAGGUGGGGUAACGGCUCACCUAGGCGACGAUCCCUAGCUGGUCUGAGAGGAUGACCAGCCACACUGGAACUGAGACACGGUCCAG
rnacentral:rRNA from 1 species